CCUACGGGAGGCAGCAGUGGGGAAUAUUGCACAAUGGGGGAAACCCUGAUGCAGCGACGCCGCGUGAGUGAUGAAGUAUUUCGGUAUGUAAAGCUCUAUCAGCAGGGAAGAUAAUGACGGUACCUGACUAAGAGGCUCCGGCUAAAUACGUGCCAGCAGCCGCGGUAAUACGUAUGGAGCAAGCGUUAUGCGGAUUUACUGGGUGUAAAGGGAGCGCAGACGGCAGGGCAAGUCAGAUGUGAAAGUCCCGGGCUCAACCCCGGGACUGCAUUGGAAACUGGCCGGCUAGAGUGCAGGAGAGGUAAGUAGAAUUCCUUGUGUAGCGGUGAAAUGCGUAGAGAUUAGGAGGAACACCAGUGGCGAAGGCGGCCUACUGGACAAUAACUGACGUUGAGGCUCGAAAGCGUGGGGAGCAAACAGGAUUAGAUACCCUGGUAGUC
rnacentral:rRNA from 1 species